GAUGGGCGUGCGGCUGAUUAGGUAGUUGGCGGGGUAACGGCCCACCAGGCCUACGAUCAGUAACUGGUGUGAGAGCACGACCAGUCACACGGGCACUGAGACACGGGCCCGACUCCUACGGGAGGCAGCAGUAAGGAAUAUUGGUCAAUGGACGCAAGUCUGAACCAGCCAUGCCGCGUGGAGGAUGAAGGUCCUCUGGAUUGUAAACUUCUUUUAUCUGGGAAGAAACCCAUGGUUUCUACUGUGGUUGACGGUACCAGAUGAAUAAGCACCGGCUAACUCCGUGCCAGCAGCCGCGGUAAUACGGAGGGUGCAAGCGUUAUCCGGAUUCACUGGGUUUAAAGGGUGCGUAGGUGGGCAGGUAAGUCAGUGGUGAAAUCUCCGGGCUUAACCCGGAAACUGCCGUUGAUACUAUCUGUCUUGAAUGUCGUGGAGGUGAGCAGAAUAUGUCAUGUAGCGGUGAAAUGCUUAGAUAUGACAUAGAAUACCCAUUGCGAAGGCAGCUCACUACACGAUGAUUGACGCUGAGGCACGAAAGCGUGGGGAGCAAACAGGAUUAGAU
rnacentral:rRNA from 1 species